rnacentral:tRNA from 1 species
GUAGCUCAACUGGUUAGUAGCACCCGCCUGUCACGCGGGAGGUUGGCGGUUCAAAUCC